GUGAGGAAUAUUGGUCAAUGGGCGAGAGCCUGAACCAGCCAAGUCGCGUGAAGGAAGAAGGAUCUAUGGUUCGUAAACUUCUUUUGCAGGGGAAUAAAGUGCAGGACGUGUCCUGUUUUGUAUGUACUCUGAGAAUAAGGAUCGGCUAACUCCGUGCCAGCAGCCGCGGUAAUACGGAGGAUCCGAGCGUUAUCCGGAUUUAUUGGGUUUAAAGGGUGCGUAGGUGGUUGGAUACGUCAGCGGUGAAAGUUUGCAGCUUAACUGUAAAAAUGCCGUUGAAACUGUCGGACUUGAGUGUAAAUGAGGUAGGCGGAAUGCGUGGUGUAGCGGUGAAAUGCAUAGAGAUCACGCAGAACUCCGAUUGCGAAGGCAGCUUACUAAGCUACAACUGACACUGAAGCACGAAAGCGUGGGGAUCAAACAGGAUUAGAUACCCUUGUAGUCC
rnacentral:rRNA from 1 species